UACGGGGGGGGCAAGCGUUGUUCGGAAUUACUGGGCGUAAAGGGCGCGUAGGCGGCCUGCUAAGUCGGAUGUGAAAUCCCUCGGCUCAACCGAGGAACUGCAUCCGAUACUGGCGGGCUUGAGGCCGGGAGGGGGUAGCGGAAUUCCCAGUGUAGCGGUGAAAUGCGUAGAUAUUGGGAGGAACACCGGUGGCGAAGGCGGCUACCUGGACCGGUUCUGACGCUGAUGCGCGAAAGCGUGGGUAGCAAACAGG
rnacentral:rRNA from 1 species